AUGGAACACUUCGCUCGUGAUUACACUGAGCCGAAGAAGACACAGGAGCAACAAAGCAUGUAACGAGAGAUCGAGCAGGAUAUGUGGAUUAUCGUCGGGUGUCUGCUGGCAGCCAUUAUGUCAUGAUGGGAAACGGCACUGAGGAAGAAGUCCUUGGAAUUGGCGCAUACCAACUUAGAUUGCGCAAUGGUCGUUAUUUGAUAUUACAUGAUGUGCUGUAUGCACCGAACAUCCGAUGUAAUCUACUGUCAGUUUUAGCGUUACUUAGAUUAGGUUUUUCUUUUCAAUUUACGGAUACUCAGUUAGAUAUUUAUUUGGGCAAGGACUUUUAUGGUAAUGGUUGUUUAAAGAAUGAUUUCUUUGUCUUAAAUUUAGACUUGGAUUUUAUUAAUAACAAUAAUUCUGCUUUA